AGAGUUUGAUCAUGGCUCAGAUUGAACGCUGGCGGCAGGCCUAACACAUGCAAGUCGAACGGUAACAGGAAGCAGCUUGCUGCUUCGCUGACGAGUGGCGGACGGGUGAGUAAUGUCUGGGAAACUGCCUGAUGGAGGGGGAUAACUACUGGAAACGGUAGCUAAUACCGCAUAAUGUCGCAAGACCAAAGAGGGGGACCUUCGGGCCUCUUGCCAUCGGAUGUGCCCAGAUGGGAUUAGCUUGUUGGUGGGGUAACGGCUCACCAAGGCGACGAUCCCUAGCUGGUCUGAGAGGAUGACCAGCCACACUGGAACUGAGACACGGUCCAGACUCCUACGGGAGGCAGCAGUGGGGAAUAUUGCACAAUGGGCGCAAGCCUGAUGCAGCCAUGCCGCGUGUAUGAAGAAGGCCUUCGGGUUGUAAAGUACUUUCAGCGGGGAGGAAGGGAGUAAAGUUAAUAUCUUUGCUCAUUGACGUUAUCCGCAGAAGAAGCACCGGCUAACUCCGUGCCAGCAGCCGCGGUAAUACGGAGGGUGCAAGCGUUAAUCGGAAUUACUGGGCGUAAAGCGCACGCAGGCGGUUUGUUAAGUCAGAUGUGAAAUCCCCGGGCUCAACCUGGGAACUGCAUCUGAUACUGGCAAGCUUGAGUCUCGUAGAGGGGGUAGAAUUCCAGGUGUAGCGGUGAAAUGCGUAGAGAUCUGGAGGAAUACCGGUGGCGAAGGCGGCCCCCUGGACGAAGACUGACGCUCAGGUGCGAAAGCGUGGGGAGCAAACAGGAUUAGAUACCCUGGUAGUCCACGCCGUAAACGAUGUCGACUUGGAGGUUGUGCCCUUGAGGCGUGGCUUCCGGAGCUAACGCGUUAAGUCGACCGCCUGGGGAGUACGGCCGCAAGGUUAAAACUCAAAUGAAUUGACGGGGGCCCGCACAAGCGGUGGAGCAUGUGGUUUAAUUCGAUGCAACGCGAAGAACCUUACCUGGUCUUGACAUCCACGGAAGUUUUCAGAGAUGAGAAUGUGCCUUCGGGAACCGUGAGACAGGUGCUGCAUGGCUGUCGUCAGCUCGUGUUGUGAAAUGUUGGGUUAAGUCCCGCAACGAGCGCAACCCUUAUCCUUUGUUGCCAGCGGUCCGGCCGGGAACUCAAAGGAGACUGCCAGUGAUAAACUGGAGGAAGGUGGGGAUGACGUCAAGUCAUCAUGGCCCUUACGACCAGGGCUACACACGUGCUACAAUGGCGCAUACAAAGAGAAGCGACCUCGCGAGAGCAAGCGGACCUCAUAAAGUGCGUCGUAGUCCGGAUUGGAGUCUGCAACUCGACUCCAUGAAGUCGGAAUCGCUAGUAAUCGUGGAUCAGAAUGCCACGGUGAAUACGUUCCCGGGCCUUGUACACACCGCCCGUCACACCAUGGGAGUGGGUUGCAAAAGAAGUAGGUAGCUUAACCUUCGGGAGGGCGCUUACCACUUUGUGAUUCAUGACUGGGGUGAAGUCGUAACAAGGUAACCGUAGGGGAACCUGCGGUUG
rnacentral:rRNA from 1 species